UACAGAGGGGCAAGCGUUGUUCGGAAUUACUGGGCGUAAAGGGCGCGUAGGCGGCCUGCUAAGUCGAACGUGAAAUCCCCGGCUCAACCCGGGAACUGCGUCCGAUACUGGCAGGCUUGAAUCCGGGAGAGGGAUGUGGAAUUCCAGGUGUAGCGGUGAAAUGCGUAGAUAUCUGGAGGAACACCGGUGGCGAAGGCGGCAUCCUGGACCGGUAUUGACGCUGAUGCGCGAAAGCCAGGG
rnacentral:rRNA from 1 species